GAUGAACGCUGGCGGCGUGCCUAACACAUGCAAGUCGAACGAGGUAUUUUGAUUGAAGUUUUCGGAUGGAUUUCAAGAUGCCGAGUGGCGGACGGGUGAGUAACGCGUGGGUAACCUGCCUCAUACAGGGGGAUAACGGUUAGAAAUGACUGCUAAUACCGCAUAAGCGCACAGUACCACAUGGUACGGUGUGAAAAACUCCGGUGGUAUGAGAUGGACCCGCGUCUGAUUAGCUAGUUGGUGAGGUAACGGCCCACCAAGGCGACGAUCAGUAGCCGACCUGAGAGGGUGACCGGCCACAUUGGGACUGAGACACGGCCCAGACUCCUACGGGAGGCAGCAGUGGGGGAUAUUGCACAAUGGAGGAAACUCUGAUGCAGCGACGUCGCGUGAGUGAAGAAGUAUUUCGGUAUGUAAAGCUCUAUCAGCAGGGAAGAAAAUGACGGUACCUGACUAAGAAGCCCCGGCUAACUACGUGCCAGCAGCCGCGGUAAUACGUAGGGGGCAAGCGUUAUCCGGAUUUACUGGGUGUAAAGGGAGCGUAGACGGCGACGCAAGUCUGAAGUGAAAUACCCGGGCUCAACCUGGGAACUGCUUUGGAAACUGUGUUGCUAGAGUGCUGGAGAGGUAAGCGGAAUUCCUAGUGUAGCGGUGAAAUGCGUAGAUAUUAGGAAGAACACCAGUGGCGAAGGCGGCUUACUGGACAGUAACUGACGUUGAGGCUCGAAAGCGUGNGGAGCANACAGG
rnacentral:rRNA from 1 species